GGCCGGGUGGCCUAAUGGUAAGGCGUCAGAUUUCGGCGAGGUUAUCCUCUCAGUCUCUGAAAACUGCGGGUUCGAGUCCCGUCUCGGUCG